GACGAACCGUGCGAACGUUGUUCGGAAUCACUGGGCUUAAAGGGCGCGUAGGCGGCUUCGCAAGUCCGGGGUGAAAGCCCCCAGCUUAACUGGGGAAGUGCCUCGGAUACUGCGGAGCUUGAGGGAGGUAGGGGCGGAUGGAACUUCCGGUGGAGCGGUGAAAUGCGUUGAUAUCGGAAGGAACGCCGGUGGCGAAAGCGAUCCGCUGGCCCUCUACUGACGCUGAGGCGCGAAAGCCAGGGGAGCGAACGGG
rnacentral:rRNA from 1 species